GGGGCUAUAGCUCAGUUGGUAGAGCGCUUCCAUGGCAUGGAAGAGGUCGGGGGUUCGAUUCCCCCUAGCUCCACCC
rnacentral:tRNA from 1 species